CCACAUCGUGUACACAACCCAAAUAAUCAAUGAGUGUUCUGCUCACAUUUUGACAAGCAUUAGUGAUCUGUUCAUAAUUGAGAAUAUUAAUAUACAAUCUCAGAUCAAUUUGAGUUGUAGAUUCCUAACAAUACAAAUUCAGUGACUAAAACUGAAACUCCACUUCACGCCCUUGAUGCUCAACUACUUUUUGCCUCCUUCAGAUCAAUUUCUAAAUUGAAACUUCACUUCAGGCUUGCGUGGAUCCUGCUGCAGCUACUGCAUGCCUCCUCGAGCGUUGCACUACAGGGCGUGUCGCACUCCAUGCUUGUGUUGGUCAGCCUUCAACUGGCGGUUGCAACGCGAUGCUUCACUUUUGCCUUGUGCAACGGCUGCGAGCUCAACGACAUGAUGCUGCCAUGCGGUUGUGGCGGCCAUGGCGUUGCCAAACGCUCUUCCUCUUGCGGUGAUGCGUACAGCGGCGACGGCCACACUCCCACGCUGGUGCGGCAAUGGGAGCGGCGGUUAGGCAAGGUCGGGGCGAUGGCGAGCGAACGAAGACGGGGAGUAAACGGAUGGGUGUUUUUUCUUGAAAAAUGGGCCGCAUCUCUUCUAGGUUG
rnacentral:lncRNA from 1 species